GUGGGGAAUAUUGGUCAAUGGGCGUAAGCCUGAACCAGCCAAGUAGCGUGCAGGAUGACUGCCCUAUGGGUUGUAAACUGCUUUUAUGCGGGAAUAAAGUCAGGUACGUGUACCUGUUUGUAUGUACCGCAUGAAUAAGGACCGGCUAAUUCCGUGCCAGCAGCCGCGGUAAUACGGAAGGUCCGGGCGUUAUCCGGAUUUAUUGGGUUUAAAGGGAGCGCAGGCGGAAGAUUAAGCGUGACGUGAAAUGUCCCGGCUCAACCGUGGAACUGCGUCGCGAACUGGUUUUCUUGAGUGAGUGCGACGUCGGCGGAAUUCGUGGUGUAGCGGUGAAAUGCUUAGAUAUCACGAAGAACCCCGAUUGCGAAGGCAGCCGACGAGUCCUUAACUGACGCUAAAGCUCGAAAGUGCGGGUAUCGAACAGG
rnacentral:rRNA from 1 species